GCCAUAAUAGCUCAAUGGUAGAGCAGUUCACUGUUAAUGUACUGAUCUUAGUUCAAUUCUAAGUUAUGGCG
rnacentral:tRNA from 1 species